UUUAGGUUUAGCUUACUUGUUGGUUUAUUCCUUUAGAUUAUUUCAAAAUACUUUAUGAUGUGAACCAAACAAAAUCACCAGUUAGCAGUAACAAAAGGUGGGCUAAAAAACUUCUUUUACAAGCUCUUUACUGCUUUAUCUCAGUUUCCACGAAUAUCAUGGCAUGCUAAAUGUACUGGGAAUGUGACGGAACCCACAUUUUUUGUUUACAUCCUUCUGAUCAUUAUAUUUGUUUCUGUCCAACCUGUUAGGAAAUGUAAGCAUGAAUUGAUGUAUGUAUGUAUUCUAAUAAAUCCUUUUUUAUUUCAGGUGAUAAAUCUUUGAUUUUGACAUUUGCAAGUAGUCCUAAUAGCCACUGCAUCCUGAAUUGUAAUUAUGAGCCACCAAUAACAAAAAAUACUUCUGUGACAUGGAUCCCUAAUGUUCUCUCAGAUGGUGAUGAAUAAAGAAAGAAGAACCCAGGAGUAUAAAAAAAUACUUACAUACAUACCUACCAUUGUGGUGCUGUACAUACAUACAUAGUCACACCACCAUACCAGGAUGGACUGAGCCGUGCACUACCAAGAAGACCAACUGCAGCCUCUUGUGAUGGACAUAAUGACCAGAGUGGUGACAGAUAAGCAACCCAUCACAAAUAUAAAUAUUUCUUUUUUCUGUGCAAGUUUUGAUGUUAUAAAUAAAAUACAAUCAAAAAGUA